CCUACGGGUGGCAGCAGUGGGGGAUAUUGCACAAUGGGGGAAACCCUGAUGCAGCGACGCUGCGUGUGGGAAGACGGUCCUCUGGAUUGUAAACCACUGUCCCCAGGGACGAAGAUGACGGUACCUGGGGAGGAAGCUCCGGCUAACUACGUGCCAGCAGCCGCGGUAAUACGUAGGGAGCAAGCGUUGUCCGGAAUUACUGGGUGUAAAGGGAGCGUAGGGGGGGAUGCAAGUUGGGUGUCAAAACUACCGGCUCAACUGGUAGUCGCAAUUAAAACUGCAGGUCUUGAGUGAAGUAGAGGCAGGCGGAAUGCGUAGUGGAGCGGUGAAAUGCGUAGAUAUUAGGAGGAACACCAGUGGCGAAGGCGGCCUGCUGGGCUUUGACUGACGCUGAGGCUCGAAAGUGUGGGGAGCAAACAGGAUUAGAUACCCCAGUAGUC
rnacentral:rRNA from 1 species